AUUGAACGCUGGCGGCAUGCCUUACACAUGCAAGUCGAACGGCAGCGGGGGAGAAGCUUGCUUUUCCUGCCGGCGAGUGGCGGACGGGUGAGUAAUACAUCGGAACGUGCCCUGUAGUGGGGGAUAACUAGUCGAAAGAUUAGCUAAUACCGCAUACGACCUGAGGGUGAAAGUGGGGGACCGCAAGGCCUCAUGCUAUAGGAGCGGCCGAUGUCCGAUUAGCUAGUUGGUGGGGUAAGGGCCUACCAAGGCGACGAUCAGUAGCUGGUCUGAGAGGACGAUCAGCCACACUGGGACUGAGACACGGCCCAGACUCCUACGGGAGGCAGCAGUGGGGAAUUUUGGACAAUGGGCGAAAGCCUGAUCCAGCAAUGCCGCGUGUGUGAAGAAGGCCUUCGGGUUGUAAAGCACUUUUGUCCGGAAAGAAAUGGCUCUGGUUAAUACCUGGGGUUGAUGACGGUACCGGAAGAAUAAGGACCGGCUAACUACGUGCCAGCCGCCGCCGUAA
rnacentral:rRNA from 1 species